AAUGAGGAUUAUAAUUAAGCUUUUAACCAUCAUGUAGAAAAUGCUGAAAUGCCAAAGUACAUUCUUGUGAUUACAGAUCAAAGUACAAUUGAAACACGAAAAUACACGAGUUAAAUGACUCAAAUGCACUAGAAAGUUUUUUCCUUUAUCGGUAAAGGUAUUGAGAAAAAAAGUAUACACUAAAUAAAUACAGUAAAGCACAAACAGGAUAAUAAAAAACAGCGGUAGUAGACACACACCCUUAGGAUAGUAUUCAUAUUCUUUCUCUUCUGAAAAGUAAAAGUUUUAUGAAAACCCAUAUUUCUUUUAAAGAAAUAAACUUUUAUAAUAAAUAAAAGUGGACUUUAUUAUCAAAUAAAAGGGAAAAUCAAAUUCACAUAAAAAUACAAGAAACAGAGAUCUGGUCUCUGAAUCUCUUAAAGGACCCAGAAACUCCUCAUUAUUAUAAUAGGGAUAAUAACAAGGACACUUCCUUAGAAGAAGUAUUAGUUAUAGAAAAUCAAAAUCUAUUGUUAGAAUUCUACAAAGAAAAUCUAUCUUUUCUUGAUUAUUGUAUGAAGUUCUGUCAAGACCAACUUGACAAAAUAACCCCCCAUAUUACAUCAUGAAUUCUGAAAAACAGAAUGUUUUAAAUAGUAUAAAUAUGCCAGCAGAAGCAACCAAGAUGGCUAAAGUAGAAAGCGAUUUACAAAAUUGGAAUAUUCCAAAGGAACCAUUCCGAGCAAUAUAUAAUACAUCAAAGUUUGAUUUUGUAAAAAAUUACAAUAUUAAAACUUGUGAAUCCACAGUUGCUAUUAAUAGCUCAGAAGAGACUAUUAAGUUGUUAUCUUCUUAGGAUAUAAAUAGAUAUCAGAAGAAUUACAAUUUCCUUCAUAUAGGACUUGUACAAGUUGCUGUCAAAUACAGAUUAGGUUUAGACACACCUUGAUGUCUCUUAUUAAGAGAUGGCAGACUGUUAAACUUUGAAGAUUCAUUAUUAGGAGUUUUACUAGGCAAACUAGCUAAUGGUCUAGUUUACUUUAACUACUAUCCAAACCAUUCGGUUGAAAUCAAUGAUUAGAAUAUAUUGGAUACACAAACUCUUAAGAUUAAAACAAAAUAAAUUGCUGUAAUAUAUCGUGUAUAUUACAAACUAAUUAAAACAACUUUAGCUCCAAAAAUUAAAAUGAUAAGUCAAAAAGGGGUUACUAUGAACAUGGAAGCAAAUCAAGCCCAUAGUAAUACCUUUGUACCAAGAAUGCUUAAAUGGAAUGAAAUCUUAUCAAAAAAUGAUUGGCAUUUUGAGGCCAUUACUUAACCAAAAGCUGAACCUGAAAGUUCUGCCAUAGACCAUGUCAUCCAAAA